CUGGUUGGAAUGUGUCCCUAAAAUGUGGUUAUGGCUCCUGCUUGCCUGGAUGGAGGAUUGAGGGAUGUGUUAAGGUUGUGGCUCUAUGUAGAAACCUCUGACUUCUACAAAGCUCCUGAUGAGUUAGCCAAGAGGAGGCAUAAAGAAUGUAAUGUCAGGAGAACCCCCCACUUAUGGAGCAUCACUUCAAAAACUGCUGAGAAUGGAGUCUGCUACAGCUAACAAAACAGAUAUGAAAGCAGCAUCUUUGGACCUUGAAACUAGAAAUGAUGAACCAGCUUAUGGCUUUGUCUCAGAACAAUUCUGAAAACACAAUUCAGAGCUUUGAAUGGUUAGUUCACAGUGGACUGAAGCAUCACAUGUCUGAAGAAUGCAGGGUAAGAAGUGCUCAGAGUAUAGCUAUUCUCUUCCGUAAGGGCUCUACAGACAUAUCCAGAUCUACCACAUAGGAACAAAUAUUGUUUGAAAGCGUCAAUACUUUACA